AAUGAUAAACAGCAACAGGAGAUACAGGAUAGGUGGUGUUUUGUGUGCUUGGGACAUCAAGAAUUCCAUUUCGCCAGUGACCAGAUUGAGUCUCUCCAUUCCUGAAUGUAUACAUUCCAAGGCCCUGCCUUCUACCUUCAUGCCAGGCUCCCUCAUACCGAUGCCCAUUUGCAAAACGAUAGACACCAAAGCCAUGCAUCUUAUCCGCAAAAUAUUCUCCAGCGUAUGUGUCCCCAUUUCUGAAAUGGUAGUGACCGAGCCCAUGCUUGACACCCCACUUGAAUUCCCCAACAUACCGACUCCCGUCUUCACAAGUAUGGACUCCGCAUCCAUGACUCUGGCCAUUAGACCAUUCCCCUGCAUA
rnacentral:misc_RNA from 1 species